rnacentral:lncRNA from 1 species
UUGAAGCCACCACACUGGCCCUGAUCCUUGUUCCAAAUAUCAGAAGCCUUCAGUGUACUGAGUGGAAUAUUGCAUACUGCCCAGUCUGUGAAGAGGAAAGAUUUAAACAUAAACGGCGCAUCUGA